rnacentral:lncRNA from 1 species
AAUGACGGAGGUGUGGUGAGACGUGAAGUCGGAUGCUGACAUUUUCCUGUGAUAACGAGGAGGAGAAAAGGGGCAGUCGGCACCUGUGCAGGUCUGUGCCAGCUCUACUCAGGGAGGCAGAGAUGGCGAGAGCCUGCUGUGACCCCGUCCUCCUCCUCCUCCCUGCACGGCUGUACCUGGGCCCAGCGGCGUGUGGUCCUGAGGAGUCCCCGUGUGGCCCACCACGUGGAGUUGGGGCAGCGAAAAUGGGAGAGGCAGAUGCUUUGUCAACCUCCCGUGAGCUCACCCGGCUGGUGGGCUGGCGCAAGGCGAAAGCGAUUUUGUGGCCAGAGCUCACCCAAGAACCUCAACGCAGGAGCAC